UGAAUUUAUACCACGGGAGCUGUCCAUGGAGCAGAUUUUGCCCAUCCCCAAAGACUGUAGCCUACUCUUUGACAGCCUGGCAAUACAAGAAGCCUCAUGAAAUGACCAUAAGACAUACUUUGAGAAAAUAGGGUUAUUUGGAAAAGACUCAAGUCAAUGUUUUUGUUGUUGAGGAUUUAGAUUUUUGGACAAUGGAUAUGUCCCACGAGUCUCAUUCACAUAAAUUCUGUGUAAAUUCCAAUAUUGCUCAGUAAGUCAUGAUGAGCCUCUGCCCCGCCUCUAACCCAGUCAUCUCACGCUAACUAUCGUCUUGGUCAAGGCACAAGAGCUAUCCAUCCGGGCAACUUCAUAUUUUUGGAUAGAGAUAAAUGUAACCUGUCUCAGCAAGAUGAAACUAUGUGGAAUUCGAGCUUCACCUGAGUUUUAUUUUCUGCUUGAAUAUUAUUCCAGCCUGUUGGAGUGCUCAUGGGAAGUAUGCCCAGAAGCUGCUGAAAGAUUUGUUUACUAACUACACCAGUGCCCUGAGACCGGUAGAGGACACAGACAACAUCCUCAAUGUGACCCUGCAGAUCACCCUCUCACAGAUCAUUGACAUGGAUGAACGUAACCAGAUUUUGACAGCAUAUCUGUGGAUACGACAGGUGUGGGUAGACUCAUACCUCACCUGGAAUACAGAUGAUUAUGAUGGACUUGAUACCAUCCGUAUACCUAGUAGUUAUAUAUGGAGACCUGAUAUAGUCUUAUAUAACAAGUAGGUCGGACUGGUAUUGGGUUAAUCAGAGAGCUCUGUUGCUCCCACAAUACAUUCCACACAUCAACGUUGUUGUCAGUGUGAAGACACAAGCUGAACACUCCUUGAAGACAUUUAUUCACGGGAGUGUUCUGGUCGUUUUCUGCUUUUUAUACUGGGAAUCUGGGAAGUAACGGGCGGCAGGUAGCCUAGCGGUUAGAGUGUUUGGCCAGUAACUGAAAGGUCGCCGGUUUGA